rnacentral:rRNA from 1 species
UAAACCCUAAAGUUUGCACGUCUAACCCGGGAAGUUUUAACCUUGCUCCUUGGGUGACGAGUGGGGGACGGGUGAGUAAUGUCUGGGAAACUGCCCGAUGGAGGGGGAUAACUACUGGAAACGGUAGCUAAUACCGCAUAACGUCGCAAGACCAAAGAGGGGGACCUUCGGGCCUCUUGCCAUCGGAUGUGCCCAGAUGGGAUUAGCUAGUAGGUGGGGUAACGGCUCACCUAGGCGACGAUCCCUAGCUGGUCUGAGAGGAUGACCAGCCACACUGGAACUGAGACACGGUCCAGACUCCUACGGGAGGCAGCAGUGGGGAAUAUUGCACAAUGGGCGCAAGCCUGAUGCAGCCAUGCCGCGUGGAUGAAGAAGGCCUUCGGGUUGUAAAGUACUUUCAGCGAGGAGGAAGGUGUUGUGGUUAAUAACCGCAGCAAUUGACGUUACUCGCAGAAGAAGCACCGGCUAACUCCGUGCCAGCAGCCGCGGUAAUACGGAGGGUGCAAGCGUUAAUCGGAAUUACUGGGGCGUAAAGCGCACGCAGGCGGUCUGUCAAGUCGGAUGUGAAAUCCCCGGGCUCAACCUGGGAACUGCAUCCGAAACUGGCAGGCUAGAGUCUUGUAGAGGGGGGGUAGAAUUCCCGGUGUAGCGGGUGAAAUGCGUAAAGAUCUGGAGGAAUACCGGUGGGGAAGGCGGCCCCUGGGACAAAAACUGACGCUCAAAUGCGGAG